GGAUCCUGAGGAUGGCAAAGGGGUCAAUCAAUGGCUGCAAACCAUGGGAACAGUCGUACAGGUGGAGACUGGGCAGGGGGAAAUGACCAUGUGACCUAUCUGUGGCACACAGCAAGGCAGCCUCCUAGCACCGCAGGGCUUGAGCCUUCUUCUCCAGACAUCCUACCACCCGGAUGCCACUUAAGGAACAAAAUGUAUCACUCGCUGACCCUCAAUUAAAACCCUGUUUGUUUUUAACCAGGGAAACAAGAUGUUCCUGGGGUUCACUCGGAACUGUUCUGGCCCAAUUCACCCCACUUCCCAUCUCUCUGGUUUUUCCCAUACAGGCGGAUCAGACUACUGCAAGCCCCUUCUAGCUGUGGCACUUUUCUGGGUCCUGGAGUGGGCCCUAGAGGAUAUCCUACACAAGCAACGCUCACAACGCUAACUGAACAGGGAGACACAAAGGCCCAUCCUGGAAAACAGGUGCCCAAGUUUUGCCUGCCAUUUCCCUGUCCUCCUGCCUGUGACACAGCCAACUCUUGAAAGACCUGGGCCCACUCCUGAUCCCCAGCUGGCACCAUGGGAAUGCCAUGUAGACAGACAGGGCCACACAAUGUCUCUAUCCACCACUUGGCACAACCCCAAAGCCACCUCAACCCUCAGAACAGAGUGGGUGAUCUUCAGAAACGCAGGGAUAGCCACGGGAGGGUGCAAGCCACCUGACUACCUCAUGGUAAGUUGGGCUUUGCCCAGUUAGGAACUGCUGCCAGGGCAGAACAGAUUUGAUCUUCAAGUGUCCUUGCCCAGUGGGCAGCUGCAGUGGGUGGAGGAUCACCAGUUGGGGAGCUCCUCUUGUUAGCACCUCCUACUCAAGGAGCCCCCUUCCCGCCAGCCUAGGCAUUUCUCCCUUGCUCUGUUCAAAAGUACCCCACCCUUCGUGCACAGCACAGGUCUUCCGGAUGACUGAAUCUCUUUAGCAUUCCCAGCACCAUGUCCCCUGUUUACUCCUGGCCGCCCACUCUCAGUGGCCGAGAUCCCCCACUAACUCUCUCAUGCGGUCCUAUACCUUCACUGCCUCUUACUCUCCACGAUCCUUCGCAACGCUUUCUCCGCGCCCCCAUUCUUAGUUAACUGUGAAGGGGCACUCUUAACUCUUUGUGGGCAGCCAAGCUUGCCUGGCUGUUUACCCAUUCCUGUCCAUACUCUUCCAAGCCAACCCUCCUGUCACCCAGGACCUCUUCCUCGGACGUUAACCUCUCAUUGCCAGGGUCUCCUUCCCCGCGCCCACCGUCCCCGGUGCCCGCCUACGCCGACUCCGUACCGAAGUCUAGAAACUGCUUCAUGGACAGCGGGGACGGGGAGAACUUGCUGAAGUGCUCGAUGUACUUGGGCGCCCCUGCCAGGGACGCAUUCUUCAACAGCGCCCGGAACCAGCGCAUGGCGACGACGCCUGCGGCUCGGGCUUGGCUCCCGCUGCUGUCCCGGAGCUGGAGGUGCUGG